rnacentral:rRNA from 1 species
UCGGGAAUUUUGGGCAAUGGGCGCAAGCCUGAUCCAGCAAUACCGCGUGUGUGAAGAAGGCCUGCGGGUUGUAAAGCACUUUCAGUUGGGAAGAUAAUGACGUUACCAACAGAAGAAGCACCGGCUAACUCCGUGCCAGCAGCCGCGGUAAUACGGAGGGUGCAAGCGUUAAUCGGAAUUACUGGGCGUAAAGCGUGCGUAGGCGGUUAUUUAAGUCAGAUGUGAAAUCCCCGGGCUCAACCUGGGAACUGCAUCUGAUACUGGGUAACUAGAGUGUGGGAGAGGAGAGUGGAAUUUCCGGUGUAGCGGUGAAAUGCGUAGAUAUCGGGAGGAACAUCAGUGGCGAAGCGGCCCUCUGGUCCAGUACUGACACUCAAGUGCGAAAGCGUGGGGAGCAAACAGGAUUAGAUACCCAAGUAGUCCCUGAGCGGGCUGGCAAGGCGCAU